rnacentral:lncRNA from 1 species
GUGAAGUUACCUGAUCGGCUUAAUUUGCCUAGUACAGACCCACAGGACUCAAAGUGUUUGGGCACAGAGUAGUCUAGCAAAGAUUAUGGAGCAAAAUCGUUUUAAAUGAAUUCAAAGUGGUUGCCUUACUUCACCGAUUAAACCAUCUACUUGCCCUUGGCCACAG